rnacentral:rRNA from 1 species
GACGAACGCUGGCGGCGUGCUUAACACAUGCAAGUCGAACGGAAAGGCCCUGCUUUUGUGGGGUGCUCGAGUGGCGAACAGGUGAGUAACACGUGAGUAACCUGCCCUUGACUUUGGGAUAACUUCAGGAAACUGGGGCUAAUACCGGAUAGGAGCUCCUGCUGCAUGGUGGGGGUUGGAAAGUUUCGGCGGUUGGGGAUGGACUCGCGGCUUAUCAGCUUGUUGGUGGGGUAGUGGCCUACCAAGGCCUUGACGGGUAGCCGGCCUGAGAGGGUGACCGGCCACACUGGGACUGAGAUACGGCCCAGACUCCUACGGGAGGCAGAGGUGUGGAAUAUCGCACAAUGGGCGGAAGCGUGAUGCAGCAACGCCGCGUGCGGGAUGACGGCCUUCGGGUUGUAAACCGCUUUCGCCUGUGACGAAGCGUGAGUGACGGUAAUGGGUAAAGAAGCACCGGCUAACUACGUG